CUGCCACUACCUGCCAAUGGAAUAUAAUGUAAACUACUGAUACACUCCAGGGAGUGUUGUGAUGUCACGUGACAUGCCGCGCAAUGCUCGUGUGUGAUUGACCGAGCAUAGAUUCGACUUCCUGUUUGCCACGCCAAAGACAAGCAAGCAGCGCGCCCGACUCCUCCAAAGAGAAGAACUCCUCGAUGGAUACAAAGUUGUAGUCCACACCGCUGAUCUCACCCUCGCGAGGCUGCCGGGUCGUACCUGCCGACGGGAAGAGUGAUGUCAUCACAGUGCGCCACACGUGUGUGUAUGUGUGUGUGUGUGUCUGCCUGCACGUACAGGGCACGGCGCGCAGGUAGAGGUUCUCCCGUAUGAGCUGCUGCAGCUGACUGUCCAUGGAGGACGGAGUGAAACACUUACUGAGGUACAGGCGAAGAUCUUUGCACAGCGACGCACCUGUCGACACACACGCACACCAUCUUAGCAAAGAACUCACACACAUGGCGCAAGCCUUGGCCACCUGGUGAGACGCUCUUGAUCCUGAUUGGAUGAGGACAGGAGUUGAGGACCCCUCGCACGUCGCCCAGCGUCAUCCCCAACACGGGCGUGCCGCCGAUCUCCAGGAUGAUGUCGGCCACAGUGGCGCCGCCCCCGGGAGCCACCGUCACGAAGGGAAACUCGCCGUAGUCGGCCCCGCCCCCAAUAGCCAGCCCCAGCUCGCCCGAGCUUCCGCCCAGCGGCACGAAGCCCUCCUGCACCUGCGACAAGAUGGCGGCCAGAUGAUUAAGUCAGUUGUCAGGCGGCGUGCUAGCGUGUUAGCGUGUCGUACCUUGGAGCGCCAGUGCAGCUUCUUCACCGUGUUUUUAGACAUGGCCGCCGAGCUGCAAAGAAGAAGACGUUCUUCACUAAUUGUUUAUAAACUAACAAACCCCUAGACCAGGAGUGUCCAAGGUGAGGCAAGGGGGCCAUUUGCGGCCCGCAGCUAAUUUUCUAACAGCACAUUCUAAAAAUACUCUUAAAAAAAGUGAAAUAAAAGAAAAUAAAAUAAAAAAAUAAAAUAAAAAAAUAAAAAUAAAAUGUAUAUAUAGAUAUUGUAUGACUUAUUUUAACACUAUUAUUAGUGGGACCCUUUUGGGUCCCUAAGAAUUUUAGUGGGAUUUAAAAAAUAAAAAUACAUCUUUGCUCAAAAAAUAAUAUUUUAAGGCUCCAGCUACUUCACAUCAAAUAUUAUGUGUAGGCGAGGUUGAGGAGGUCUUCCUUCCACCCUUC